GUUGUAACUCUGUUCUGUUUGGUUGAAGAGAUAAAAGCAGGGAUAAGUUGUCGACAGAACAGAUUUCUCAAGUCUAUCACAUGCACUCCAGGUCAUCCCAAGGAGCAUAAUGUUACAAUAAAGAAGAUCGAAGAUGCCAUGCCAAAGUACCUCAAAAAGGAGGAUGUUACGAUUCUUGACUUAGAGGGAAUCCAGCUCAAACUUUCUCCGGGAUGCUUCAAAGCAUUCAAGAAUCUGCGAAUUUUAAGUCUUUCUAAAGCGGGAAUAAAGGAGGUAUCAACAGAAUAUUUCGAGGGACUUAAUAAACUUAAAGCUCUGUAAGUUCAC